rnacentral:misc_RNA from 1 species
ACCAAAUUGGCUUGUUAUUCAGCAAUUUGCAUUUCUUUCAAAACUCAGAGACCGGUGAGAAAAGCAGUGAAUAUCAGAUCAUUCAAAGAAAUAAAUAAACAUCUCCGUUUGAAAAUGCUAGUUUAAUUGUGAAAACAAACAUGCUACAUAACACCUCUGCUGAUCAUAACAGAAGUCCACUGGCCAUGUUAUAGAGGUGUUGCAAAUCCUUCAGAUAGACAUCCCCAAGUGUCAUUGUGCAAUGAUAGCAAUGAGGUAAACAAUGCGGAGGCUGUAACACUAUGCAAUGGUAUCAAGGAUAGCGCACCACCCAACUCCACAGGAAGCCUGGAGAAGUUUAGCUUGUGGAGUGAUAAGCGACUACAAGAGGAGGGCUUAGGAAAGAGUCCACUCAAGCUAGCGGCUUUUGAAGCAAAAAGGGAAGAUAUCGUUUUUGUUGUUGGUGGUGGUGGUGAACGGGUUAAGAGGGCUUUUGCAGAAGUUGAAGAGAACUGAAGGGUUCUUCUUGCACCAUUGGCCGCCAUCUUUCUUUCUUUCUGUGACGACGCCAAGCAAAACCGC